rnacentral:lncRNA from 1 species
GUACCAUUUGUUUCCCAUUCUGGCUAACGUUUAAUCUUCCAGGGAAUUGUGGCUGCCUCUGGUGCCAGAAGAAUUAACGAGUUUGCACAGUUUUAAGAACAAAGCCUUUAAGAAACCCAAGGUCUGUGGGGUUUGCAAGCAGAUUAUUGACAGCCAAGGGAUUUCAUGCCGAGCCUGCAGGUACUGCUACCACAAGCCAUGUGAACCUAAGGUGGGCACCUCUGCCACGAGAGCCUACGGCGUCCUCAGAAACCGCCACGGACGCGGGUCCUGGUGACAGCCGACGCCCGCCGGCGUAAGUGAGGAGUUGUAGCCAGGAGCUUACGUCUGCUGGUUCCCCUGCAUCUCCAGACACAGCUGUCUUCCCCACCGUGUCCCAGGUGUGGUCCGUCGGCCCCUCCCCGCAUCGGUCCAGCAAACGGGGAC